rnacentral:rRNA from 1 species
GAUGAACGCUAGCGGCAGGCUUAAUACAUGCAAGUCGAGGGGCAACAGGGGUAGCAAUACCUGCUGGCGACCGGCAAACGGGUGCGGAACACGUACAGAACCUUCCUUUAAGCGGGGGAUAGCCCAUAGAAAUGUGGAUUAAUACCCCAUAGUAAUAAUGACUGGCAUCAGUUGUUAUUUAAAGAUUUAUCACUUAAAGAUGGCUGUGCGA